GUCUCUCCUGUGGUGCAAUGGGUCAGUGCAUCUGGCCAUUAACCAGAAGGUUAGUGGUUCGAGUGCACCCAGUGACA